ACUAGCAGUAAGAGUUUGAUCCUGGCUCAGAACGAACGCUGGCGGCAGGCUUAACACAUGCAAGUCGAACGCAUCCUUCGGGGUGAGUGGCAGACGGGUGAGUAACACGUGGGAACGUGCCCUUCAGUUCGGGAUAACCCAGGGAAACUUGGGCUAAUACCGGAUACGUCCGAGAGGAGAAAGAUUUAUCGCUGAAGGAUCGGCCCGCGUCUGAUUAGCUAGUUGGUGGGGUAAUGGCCUACCAAGGCGACGAUCAGUAGCUGGUCUGAGAGGAUGAUCAGCCACACUGGGACUGAGACACGGCCCAGACUCCUACGGGAGGCAGCAGUGGGGAAUAUUGGACAAUGGGCGCAAGCCUGAUCCAGCCAUGCCGCGUGAGUGAUGAAGGCCCUAGGGUUGUAAAGCUCUUUCGGCGGGGACGAUAAUGACGGUACCCGCAGAAGAAGCCCCGGCUAACUUCGUGCCAGCCGCCGCGGUAAUAC
rnacentral:rRNA from 1 species